CGGACACCCGAAUUUAAUUUGGGCACCCGAUGUGUUGAAUUUUGUACUGGGCCGUGUGAAUGGGCUUUUGUGUUGUCAACUAAUGAAUUUGGCCAAGCCCGAACAUUGAGACGAACUGUCUUGAAGUGGGCUUCGAUAUUUGUGGAUGAGUGAUUCAACAGGCCCAUGUAUUGGACACCCAUCUUUCUUUCCAGGCCCUUUAGCUUUAAUUUGCGUCAGGCCCAAUUGCAAAGCCCGCUCCACCUGUAAGACCAAACUGAUAGACUCUUGUCUUCACAUCAGAAAGCUGGGAUCUUUCGUAGUCGCCUCGAGCUGGUACAGAUCGUGUUUGGAGAUGGAAGCUAACUCUUGCAGUUCGCUUUGGAGAGGGAAACAUGAAGCCUGGCUCUGCAUAAAUAGCGGGUUGCAUGCCCGUGAUGCUGCAAUUACGAACUGGGUAAAGCCUCCAUCUUUCUUAUUUCUUCUCAAUGGAUUUCGAUCAACCGAAACACCCACUAAGAUUUCCGAAUUUAUUUCUUUGCUGCUGCAAAUUCGAUGUGGCAAUUGGACGAACUUCUAUUGCGGCAACUCGUCGGUCAGCUGGUGUACAAAGAGCUUGCGACCCAUUUUUUUGGUUUCACACCACCGCCAAGCUUUGUCAUGCAAUUUUGUUUGAAACGUGGUCGUAAAGGAUGAGACUUUGAGAGACAAACUUUUGUUCUUGUUUCAGUUUCUGUUUGCUGAGACCAUAACUUUGACAUUGGCUUCAAGGAAUAUUUGUAUGAUGACCAUCCGCAACUUUGGCUGUUCGUGGACAACCUCCGUUAAAGCGAUAACAGCGUCAUCCUUUGGGGGAAUUUAGCAUUGAAGCUGGGCUGUUCAUGAACAACCAGAUUUUUCAAUGCAUUAAGUUUGCAAGGGAGGAAUUUUGAGCAUUGAAACGAGGCCGUUCGUGAACAACCGUUUUGUUUCAUUGCGUUAUGAAUUUGAGAGCAGCAACAAUGUCAUUUCGACGAAGAACUCUAAUAACAAUGGUCGUUCAUGAACGGCCUAUUAGAGCUUUGGAGGUCACAAGACAUAGAGGAUUAAUUGGAGAGGCUUCACAGGGAAGGCAGAUAUAUACCUGCAGCUUUCUUUCUCUGGUAGCUCUUCUUCUCUGUUUCGUUUUGCUGCGUCUCCUCCUCUGCUUUGUGUUUCUCUUAUUCUCUCUGUAUUUCUUUUUUUAUCUCAGCCCUCUGUAGUGUUUUUUCCCUCCUCUACUGCGUAUAUCUUUUGUAUUUCUAUCCCCCUUUCUCUUCGGUGUUGCUGCCUAUAUAUAUAGUGGUCAUUGGAUAGGUGUAACCGGGUAGUGAUGACCACUUUGAAUAACAAGUCUAUCCUUAUCACUUGUUAUCCUCAUGUAUAUUUGAAUUGGUCAACAACUUGACCGAGACUUGAAUCAAGGCUAACAGAACAUUAUCUCCUC